AAUAUCAACAAGAAGAUGUUGAGCAGCGACCAACGGCAAUUUGCCAAAAGGUGAGACUUCCUAUUGGAAGGAGAGUAAAAAAUGGCCAUGAGGAAGGAACGAAGGAGGGGAAGAGAAAAAGGGAGAGAAGAGGAGAAGAAUCUUUUAGUUGGGUGACGAAAAAGUGGGGAGAAGCGUGGGCGGGAAGAAGAGCAGCAAAGAGGAAAGUUUGCUCGUGGGAAUGUUACGAUAUUCGAGCAUUGUCGAGGAAGGCCACUCAAACGGUUACGUUGCGAAGAAGGAUCGAUAAGAUCUUGGGAAGAGAUGUCCUCGUAUAACCGCGUUGGAAACGUUAACGGACACUUGGAAUAUUUUGGUAUCGAUGGCUGGUUGUAUUGUAAACAAGAGGAAGAACGUGGAUACGUUUCGUAUAUGGAGAUGGAUUCAUGAAGUAUGAGACACAAGAAAGAAGUAUAAAGAAGAAAAGGAUGACAGAAAAAAUUCGAUUUCCAAUUUCUAUCACGUCAGCUUUACACAACCAAGCUUCCGUUCGAUUACCUGCUUGCAUGCACCUUUUUUUCAAUUUUCCAUUUUCGUUCGAAUGACUUUCUAUCGAAUAUGAAAAACGAUAAAAUAAAGAAAUGAUGGAGCCUCUGAUAUAAAGAAAAUGUAGAUAUAUUCCACGAUUGAUAUUUGUAAAUUGUUUCUAUAAAAAAACAUAUCUUUUUAAACGCUGUAAAAAUUCAUAUUUUUACUGGUUUAUUGUUUGCGCCUGUUGAAAUAAAAGCUACCUACCGAAACGAGCAUCACCAAUAAAUUAGAACAUUUUUUAAUUAUAGAUAAGCGAAAUGUGCAUUUGCGUGCAUGCGUUAAUGAAAUUGCAUAUUACCAUACUUUCGUACCAUUUUCCUGCAAAAUUCACGACCAUGAAAUUCACGACUGUGUAACGAGAUGAUCUUGUACGGAUAACACGAGAUACAAACUUCGUGUAAAAAAUAUAUAUAUAUAUAAAAAUGCAUAAGACGAAAUGAAAAUAGCAUUUAUUUUGUAUCGUGUCAAUCUCGAAAAGGCGGAAAAGAACAGGUGAAAGAGAAAAAA